UACAGAGGGUGCGAGCGUUAAUCGGAAUUACUGGGCGUAAAGCGUGCGUAGGCGGCUGCGCAAGUCGGGUGUGAAACCCCGGGGCUCAACCCCGGAACUGCAUCCGAUACUGCGUGGCUAGAGGUAGGUAGGGGAGAUCGGAAUUCCUGGUGUAGCGGUGAAAUGCGCAGAUAUCAGGAGGAACACCGGUGGCGAAGGCGGAUCUCUGGGCCUUACCUGACGCUCAGGCACGAAAGCUAGGGGAGCGAACAGG
rnacentral:rRNA from 1 species